UGAACGCUGGCGGCGUGCUUAACACAUGCAAGUCGUACGAGAACACCCUAGCUUGCUAGGGUAAGUAAAGUGGCGCACGGGUGAGUAACGCGUGGGUAAUCUACCUUCGAAUUGGGGAUAACGUUGCGAAAGCGACGCUAAUACCGAAUAACAUCCAUUUGCCUUCGGGUUUUUGGAUCAAGGUUGGCCUCUACAUGUAAGCUACUGUUUGAAGAUGAUCCCGCGUACCAUUAGCUUGUUGGUGGGGUAAUGGCCUACCAAGGCAACGAUGGUUAGCUGGUCUGAGAGGAUGAUCAGCCACACUGGAACUGACACACGGUCCAGACUCCUACGGGAGGCAGCAGUGAGGAAUUUUGCGCAAUGGGCGAAAGCCUGACGCAGCAACGCCGCGUGAGUGAUGAAGGCUUUCGGGUCGUAAAGCUCUGUCAAGUGGGAAGAACCUGCAGUAUGUUAAUACCAUAUUGCACUGACGGUACCACUGAAGGAAGCACCGGCUAACUCC
rnacentral:rRNA from 1 species